UUCACCACCAAAAAAUAACACUGCAUCUCUCCUUCACUCAGUCAUCACACUAGCUACAGAAACACCCAUUAAACCCCAUCUCUGCUUUUCUUCUUAUAAGUUUUUAGUUUACUUAAUCUUCUCACUCUUUUGUUUAGAUUUUUCAGAUUUUGAUUUUCUUAUUUUUUUCUCACCCCUUUUCCCCCUGAUUUUCGUUUUUAUUAGAGGUAGAUCUGUUGUCAAUUUUGGAUCCAAUUCUUGGGUGAUUUUCUGAUUUUUUUUUCUUAAUUUAUUAUGAAAUUUUCUACUUGCAUGUUCCUAACGGAGAUUAGUUUAAUGUUGAAUUUUCGUUUGCCAAUCAAUUUCUACUUGCAUAUUUUUAAUAGAGGUGAGUUUAUUGUGGAUUUUUCUACUUGCAUGUUUCUAAUCGACUUUAGAUUUUGUUUCUAUGUUCUCUAAUUUUCUUCAUUUCAUAGUCGUCUUUUUAAAUCUUUGCUUUUCCGUAAUGACCCUGUUAUACUUUCAUUUGCUCCUCCUUGCUUAAUAAUUGGGUGUAACAACCUUUUACUUUAGAGAAAUCAGAAUAUGCAACAAAUAUAACUACUCAGAUACUCAUAAAGACUCUGCUAUGUCAAUGAAUUUUCCGUUGGUCUUCUUAUACUCUGUCUCUUUACUUGCUGGUAAUUAAGGUUACACCAAAAAAGGAACAAAUAUAAUAAAGCAGUGUGGGGUGAUUAUUAUCAGAAAGAACAAGCAAAUUAGAAGGGAUGUGUAGUGAUGGAUCAUUGUAAAAUGGAGCAAAAUAGGGCAAUGUGAGACUCAGAGCCUGUCUCUUCUUCUUUAUGUGGGAUAUGCAAGGACUGUAAUGAAGUUGCUGGAUGGUGAGAAUUGGGAGGUGAGAACUGAACUUUUCAUUUCUCAAAAACAAUUGUGACAAUAUUUUCUAUAUCUAAGACACUACCGAACUUAUGUGCAUUAGUUAAACUCACUUGAAGUAUUCUAGAGGGUAAUAUAAUUCCCAAGUACUUUUAUGUUAUUUUAGAGUGUUCUUACAAAUGGCUAUAACGUUGAAACAUUAUUUUUAGUUCUCGAGCACCAAACUUUACUGUAAUCCCCGAGUUCUUCUUCAUAUGAGAAAGUGACAAACUAAUAAAUGGAUACACCUCUACAGAAUGAAGAAGGUAUAGAUGGAUAUCACUCUCAAUUUGUAUGGACUAUGUAAUUCUUUAUCUAUUCUUUUUCGGUUUCUCAUUUGUACCUUGCCCAUGACAUAAUAUACAUUAUUUAGUAUAAAUGCUAUACACUUUCAUUCUAACCACAGUUAAAAAGUAUUGUUCUUUCAUCUAAAUAAUCAUGGGUUAACCAAUCUCAAGUGGUCCUUAUUAGACGGAUCUCUCAAAUUGACUCUUCCUAAAGAGUCUUACGAUCUGGAUAGGGAUAGCCAAGAUUUGCCGGAGGAAUUUGAGAAAGCUACUACUUAUGGAGGAAAUGAAAAUGAAAGUUGUAUUCGAAUAUUCAAGCGCAAGGUUGAAGAAAAGGCGAGUCUUAACUACACUAUUGACAACAUUUAUGCCCGCCCCACCCGCAACAACCUUUUUGGAAUUUUAUCUUCAAGAUAACAAUGUUAUUGCCAUAUGAAUGGAUGACUCCUACAUCCAGAUAUAUAAUGUUCAAGUUAAUGAGAUUGAGCUAUUUAGACAUUUAUUUCGUUCUGUAAAGACAAAGCUCAAAGGACAUCAUAAAAGAAUAACUGGGCUUGCUUUUUCGAAUUCUCUCAACAUACUUAUAUCUGCAGGAGCAGAUUAUCUGUGUCUCAGGAAGAGUUGACAUUUUCACAGUCUGAACAAGGUCUUGAAUCCAAUGAGCAACAAAUUAUUCAAUAUGUGAGCUCACUGAUGCAGGUCGAAAGAGAAGGCGUAAAAGGUUAAUUUUGCUAUUGCAAGAGCUAUAUCCGAGAUGGCUAUUGCUUCAAGACUUAGUGCACCAGAGCGUUGGAUGAAUAGUAUCAAUGAAUUUGAGUAUUUUGUCCAAGUAAUAUAUUCAUAUCUUUUUCUUAUUGUAGUUAAAAAGUAUUGUACUAUCAAAGAUGUAUAUAGAAGUGUAUUAUUGAUGAUUAUGACUACUUCACACAUACAAAUGAAAGUGAUAUGUUCUACCCAUGUUGGUACAUAAGAUAAUUAUUGUUAAUGAA